rnacentral:rRNA from 1 species
AUUGAACGCUCGCGGCAUGCCUAACACAUGCAUGUCAAACGGCAGCACAGCAGUAGCAAUACUGUGUGUGGCGAGUGGCGGACCGUUGAGGAAUGCAUCGGAACGUACCCAGAAGUGGGGGAUAACGUAGCGAACGUUACGCUAAUACCGCAUAUUCUGUGAUCAGGAAAGUGGGUGAUCGCAUGACCUCACGCUUCUUGAGCGGCCGAUGUCGGAUUAGCUAGUUGGUGAGGUAAAGGCUCACCAAGGGGACGAUCCGUAGCGGGUCUGAGAGGAUGAUCCGCCACACUGGGACUGAGACACGGCCCAGACUCCUACGGGAGGCAGCAGUGGGGAAUUUUGGAAAAUGGGGGCAACCCUGAUCCAGCCAUGCCGCGUGAGUGAAGAAGGCCUUCGGGUUGUAAAGCUCUUUCGCGAGGGAAGAAAGCGCACUGGUUAAUACCUGGUGUGGAUGACGGUACCUUGAUAAGAAGCACCGGCUAACUACGUGCCAGCCGCCGCCGUAACAC